rnacentral:rRNA from 1 species
UGAGUAACCUUGCCCUAAGGCUUUUGGGAUAACCCUCGGAAACGGGGGCUAAUACUGGAUAUUCCCGCGGGAUCGCAUGGUUUUUGUGGGGUAAANNGGUUUUCCGGUCGUUGGAGUGGCGUCGCGCU